ACCCGGGUCCUUCCGUGCGCGUUGAUAUGAUUGGCCGUCCGAGAGCGGUCCUCUUUUCCUCCUUUGCAGCUGGGGCACCGUAGCCAUCAUGAAUGACACAGUAACGAUCCGGACCAGGAAGUUCAUGACAAACCGUCUGCUUCAGAGGAAACAGAUGGUCAUUGAUGUCCUUCACCCUGGGAAGGCAACAGUACCAAAGACAGAAAUUCGGGAAAAGCUGGCCAAAAUGUACAAAACCACGCCAGACGUCAUCUUUGUGUUCGGAUUCAGAACCCACUUUGGUGGUGGCAAAACGACUGGCUUCGGCAUGAUCUAUGAUUCUCUAGAUUAUGCAAAGAAGAAUGAGCCCAAACACAGACUUGCAAGACAUGGCCUUUAUGAGAAGAAAAAGACGUCCCGAAAACAGCGAAAGGAACGCAAGAACAGAAUGAAGAAGGUCAGGGGAACUGCAAAGGCCAACGUUGGUGCUGGCAAAAAGCAGAAAUGAAAUAACUAGCAGUGAGUGGAGAUUGGAUACAGCCAAAGGAGUAGAUCUGCUGCGGUGACUUGAUCUGCUGUGGUGUGCAGAUUUCCGAGAGGACAAAUAAACUAAACAUUUAUGUA